UACGUAGGGUGCGAGCGUUGUCCGGAUUUAUUGGGCGUAAAGAGCUCGUAGGCGGUUUGUCGCGUCGGCCGUGAAAUCUCCACGCUUAACGUGGAGCGUGCGGUCGAUACGGGCGGACUAGAGUUCGGUAGGGGAGACUGGAAUUCCUGGUGUAGCGGUGAAAUGCGCAGAUAUCAGGAGGAACACCGGUGGCGAAGGCGGGUCUCUGGGCCGAUACUGACGCUGAGGAGCGAAAGCGUGGGGAGCGAACAGG
rnacentral:rRNA from 1 species